GCCCCGCGGGGGGCGGUGUGGGCCGGGCGUGGGCGGGCGGAGCGGUGGGCGCUGCCCCGGCGAGGGCCCGACUUGUGGUGCGGGCAGGAGCGGCCCGAGCUUGGCCCCGCUCUGCUGCUGUCCGCCUCCCGCCGGGCGCGGCAGGGCCCGAUGGCGGGCGGGCUGGGGCCGCGGCUGCUGGCCUUGGCCUUGGCCUUGGGGCCGGCAGGCGUUUGGGCUGAAUUGAAGCUGGUGGAGUCUGGUGGAGGUCUGCGAGCACCUGGAGACUCCGUGCAUCUCUCCUGCCAGGGAUCCGGAAUCAGCUUUAAAGAUUAUCAUGUCUAUUGGUACCGUCAGGCACCCGGUCUAAGUCUUGAGUGGGUGUCCUUCAUUAGCUAUGAUGGUAGCACUGUAGAAUAUGGCAAAGCAGUGAAGGGCCGAGCCAGUGUCUCCCGGGACAAUUCCCAGUCCAAGUCUUCUCUGUCCCUGAGCUCCCUGGUACCCCAGGACUCAGCCCACUACUUCUGUGCAGUUCGCACAGGGACAGGAAAUCCAGCUGAGCUUUAACACAAACCUAGUGCCAGGGCCCCUCACCUCUCCUACAUAUAUUGCUGCCACAGAGGCUACAUAUAUUGCAGCCUCUGGCUGCUGUAGGUGCUGGAGGAGCCUCUGACUCCUUCCCACCGUGCUCUCUGCCCUAUGC